rnacentral:tRNA from 1 species
GAGGGAGACCUACUAGGUUAUAAACUGAAAGCGAUUUGCGAAUAGGUUGUAGCUGUAGUCACCUAAGGUCGAUGAGGGUUUCGUUAGUUAAAGAGUACAAGCGAGGCAAAGAAAGCAAACUGCCCUAAACAAGUAGUCAGCAAGUAAUUGGUGUAGUGAGUAUUCCACUUCAAGUUAUUCAGGUGUUACAACACCACUCGAAAGAUAAGGGCUAUUAGCUCAGGUGGUUAGAGCGCACCCCUGAUAAGGGUGAGGUCCCUGGUUCGAGUCCAGGAUGGCCCACUUUCGGAUAUUGCGACCAUCAAUUGCGUAUAAGGGGGUAUAGCUCAGCUGGUAGAGCGCCUGCUUUGCAAGCAGGAUGUCAGCGGUUCGAGUCCGCUUACCUCCACCAAGCGUUCAGGUCAUAUUUUCCAGAUACGUUCCAUCCAUGUAGCUAACCAGUAGAAAUCAGCAACUAGGGAUGUUUGGCACAUCAUAGCUUGCUGGUCUAUCUAGACUAGUAAAAGAACCUUGACAACUGCAUAGAAAACUAUAAGAAAGCAAAGGUAGUUCGAGGUGUCUUUGAGACAUUUGAAAAACAAAAAGCCCAACUAUUAGUUCAAACAGCGAUCUAAAGAAAGAGAAGAGCGAGAGCGAAUCGAAAUAAUUUAGAGCGUGAGAGGG